rnacentral:rRNA from 1 species
UGAGGAAUAUUGCGCAAUGGACGGAAGUCUGACGCAGCAAUGCCGCGUGCGGGACGAAGGUGCUAUGCAUCGUAAACCGCUGUAGCGUGGGGCAAAAAGCACCCUCGGGGUGUGAGAUGGUACCACGAAAGUAAGCAUCGGCUAACUACGUGCCAGCAGCCGCGGUAAUACGUAGGAUGCAAGCGUUGUCCGGAUUUACUGGGUGUAAAGGGUGCGCAGGCGGGACUGUAAGUCAGAGGUGAAAGCCCGGAGCUUAACUCCGGAAAUGCCUUUGAUACUGCGGUUCUUGAAUAUGACAGAGGCUCAUGGAAUAUGUGGUGUAGCGGUGAAAUGCGUAGAUAUCACAUAGAACACCAGUGGCGAAGGCGGUGAGCUGGGUCAUUAUUGACGCUCAUGCACGACAGUGUGGGGAGCAAACAGGAUUAGAUACCCUGGUAGUCCACACCGUAAACGAUGUAUGCUUGAUGUUGGGGGUGUAUGCCCUCAGUGUCGAAGGAAAUCCGAUAAGCAUACCACCUGGGAAGUACGAUCGCAAGGUUG